rnacentral:rRNA from 1 species
UACGUAGGGGGCAAGCGUUGUCCGGAAUCAUUGGGCGUAAAGGGUGCGUAGGCGGCCGUGCAAGUCUGGCGUGAAAGCCCCGGGCUCAGCCCGGGAAGUGCGCUCGAAACUGCGCGGCUCGAGUGCCGGAGGGAGAGUGGAAUUCCUGGUGUAGCGGUGAAAUGCGUAGAUAUCAGGAGGAAUACCGGUGGCGAAGGCGGGUUGCUGGGCUGACACUGACGCUGAUGCGCGAAAGCCAGGGAGCGAACGGG